rnacentral:rRNA from 1 species
UACGUAGGUCCCGAGCGUUGUCCGGAUUUAUUGGGCGUAAAGCGAGCGCAGGCGGUUUGAUAAGUCUGAAGUUAAAGGCUGUGGCUCAACCAUAGUUCGCUUUGGAAACUGUCAAACUUGAGUGCAGAAGGGGAGAGUGGAAUUCCAUGUGUAGCGGUGAAAUGCGUAGAUAUAUGGAGGAACACCGGUGGCGAAAGCGGCUCUCUGGUCUGUAACUGACGCUGAGGCUCGAAAGCGUGGGGAGCGAACAGGAUUAGAUACCCUGGUAGUCCACGCCGUAAACGAUGAGUGCUAGGUGUUGGAUCCUUUCCGGGAUUCAGUGCCGAAGCUAACGCAUUAAGCACUCCGCCUGGGGAGUACGACCGCAAGGUUGAA